UACGGGGGGGGCAAGCGUUGUUCGGAAUUACUGGGCGUAAGGGGCUCGUAGGCGGCCAACUAAGUCAGACGUGAAAUCCCUCGGCUUAACCGGGGAACUGCGUCUGAUACUGGAUGGCUUGAGUUUGGGAGAGGGAUGCGGAAUUCCAGGUGUAGCGGUGAAAUGCGUAGAUAUCUGGAGGAACACCGGUGGCGAAGGCGGCAUCCUGGGCCAACACUGACGCUGAGGAGCGAAAGCCAGGGGAGCAAACGGG
rnacentral:rRNA from 1 species